AUUGAACGCUGGCGGCAUGCUUUACACAUGCAAGUCGAGCGGCAGCGCGGGGGCAACCCUGGCGGCGAGCGGCGGACGGGUGAGUAGAGCAUCGGAACGUAUCCCAUAGUGGGGGACAACCCAGCGAAAGCGGGGCUGAUACCGCAUAUGCUCUACGGAGGAAAGUGGGGGACUCGCAAGGGCCUCACGCUAUGGGAGCGGCCGAUGUCCGAUUAGCUAGUUGGUGGGGUAAUGGCUCACCAAGGCGACGAUCGGUAGCUGGUCUGAGAGGAUGAUCAGCCACACUGGGACUGAGACACGGCCCAGACUCCUACGGGAGGCAGCAGUAGGGAAUAUUGGGCAAUGGACGCAAGUCUGACCCAGCCAUGCCGCGUGCAGGAUGAAGGCGUUAUGCGUUGUAAACUGCUUUUAUACAGGAAGAAACGACUCUUGCGAGAGGCAUUGACGGUACUGUAUGAAUAAGCACCGGCUAACUCCGUGCCAGCAGCCGCCGUAAGAC
rnacentral:rRNA from 1 species